CCUGGGCAUGCGGCGGUGGCGGUGAUGGGCUGCUCUCGUCAGGUGGCACAGAAGCAGCAUUCCUCUGCAUAGAGGAGCGGCUGGACGACGAGAAUCUGAAGCCGGGUAGCUUCCUCUGCACAUCUUCCAUCAUUUCACGGCACUGAAUGUUUCGGGUCAUUAUGAAGUCGCUGCACUGCUGUUUUAUUUUGCCAAUUGCUUCCUGUGCAGAGGGAGGGGGGGUCAUCCCAAUAUCAGUAGCCCAUUCGAGACGAGACAUCUGCAUUCCUAUGUUCGACGCAAAUAUUUAAAAAAAAAUUGAAAAUGCAAUCGCACCUGUAAAGUCACA
rnacentral:lncRNA from 1 species